rnacentral:tRNA from 1 species
GGGAGGGUACUUCAGUGAUAGAGUGCAUGCUUAGUAUACAUGAGGUCCUGGGUUCAAUCCCCAGUAUAUCCG